GCGAUACCCGAAUGGGGAAACCCAGUGUGAUUCGUCACACUAUCAUUAACUGAAUCCAUAGGUUAAUGAGGCGAACCGGGGGAACUGAAACAUCUAAGUACCCCGAGGAAAAGAAAUCAACCGAGAUUCCCCCAGUAGCGGCGAGCGAACGGGGAGGAGCCCAGAGCCUGAAUCAGCAUGUGUGUUAGUGGAAGCGUCUGGAAAGGCGCGCGAUACAGGGUGACAGCCCCGUACACAAAAGCGCAUGUGCUGUGAGCUCGAUGAGUAGGGCGGGACACGUGGUAUCCUGUCUGAAUAUGGGGGGACCAUCCUCCAAGGCUAAAUACUCCUGACUGACCGAUAGUGAACCAGUACCGUGAGGGAAAGGCGAAAAGAACCCCGGCGAGGGGAGUGAAAAAGAACCUGAAACCGUGUACGUACAAGCAGUGGGAGCACCCUUUGGGGUGUGACUGC
rnacentral:rRNA from 1 species